rnacentral:rRNA from 1 species
CCUACGGGUGGCAGCAGUGGGGAAUAUUGGGCAAUGGAGGCAACUCUGACCCAGCAACGCCGCGUGAAUGAUGAAGGUCUUCGGAUUGUAAAGUUCUGUGAUGGGGGAUGAACACAAUGACGGUACCCCAAUAGCAAGCCACGGCUAACUACGGGCCAGCAGCCGCGGUAAUAAGUAGGUGGCAAGCGUUAGCCGGAAUGACUGGGCGUAAAGGGGGCGUAGGUGGUUUAGUAAGUUGGCGGUGCAAUUCAGGGGCUCAACAUCGGCGCUACAGCUAAGACUAUUAGACUAGAGUGCAGGAGAGGGAAGUAGAAUUCCUGGUGUAGCGGUGAAAUGCGUAGAUAUUAGGAGGAACAUCGGGGGCGAAGGCGACUUACUGGACUGUAACUGACGCUGAGGCACGAAAGCGUGGGGAGCAAACAGGAUUAGAUACCCGAGUAGUC